GACGACUAUGACUGGUUAAAUAUGGAUUAGCAAUCACUUCAGGGUGUCGGGUCAGGACAGCAAUUAUUCAUUCAGUGUCGUAAAAGUGAACUACACUCAAGCAACUCAAUGACACAAAAAGAAAACAAGCGUUUCAGAGACAGUCUUUUGUACACUGCUAGUAGCACAGGAUACAUUUCUUGGCGUCUGAAAACAGUCCAAAGGAAAAUUCGGCGUGGAUCUGAGGCGCCACCAAGUAGCUCUUUGAACCUUUCUUCAGGAGGCCCAAAGUUCCAAAGGAUUGUCAAUGUCGACAAUCAGCUUGAUGGGGAUGCUUGUCAAGAGGCAGUAUCUUUGCUCAACCAUACCACAGACAAUUCCGUGAUUCUCCAGAAGAUGAGAGAGACAUUUCAGCACCGUCAGAAGCUUGUUAAUGACCCAGGUACAAGUGCUGAUAUCCUCUCCAUCUUCCCAAGAUUCCUCGAUACAAAAGGAUUGGUAAGUUUGGAAUGAGAUGUUUGGAGCAGCCUGACAUUUGAAAGUAUUUCCUUCGGUGGUAGUUAAAUAUCUUCUUUCUUAAAGGUGGAGCAAGACUUCAUUCUCCUAUUUGAUGAUGAGACAUCCUCCAGGCUGCUUCAGAAGUGGGAUGUGUUCUUCAAACCAAACAUCAUAAAAGAGGCUAAGCGACUUACUUCAGCACCAGAGUUGCGGCGCUUGUUACAGUCAGCAGAAUGUUCCAUUGGAAGUGAUGAGGCAACAUCUUACGACCAUGAAAUGGCCUCCCUGUUGUUGCUCAUACAUCUCCUUCCACCACCACCAGGAGGACCGAAGUCUCCAAAAAUCAGUGCAUGUGAUGCCAUUGAGAGACUUGUUGUCUUUCAUAAG